UACGUAGGGUGCGAGCGUUGUCCGGAAUUACUGGGCGUAAAGAGCUCGUAGGUGGUUUGUCACGUCGUCUGUGAAAUUCCGGGGCUUAACCUCGGGCGUGCAGGCGAUACGGGCAAUACUUGAGUGCUGUAGGGGAGACUGGAAUUCCUGGUGUAGCGGUGGAAUGCGCAGAUACCAGGAGGAACACCGAUGGCGAAGGCAGGUCUCUGGGCAGUAACUGACGCUGAGGAGCGAAAGCAUGGGUAGCGAACAGGAUUAGAUA
rnacentral:rRNA from 1 species